rnacentral:rRNA from 1 species
ACUCCAGACUCCUACGGGAGGCAGCAGUGGGGAAUAUUGCACAAUGGGGGAAACCCUGAUGCAGCGACGCCGCGUGAGCGAUGAAGUCUUUCGGUAUGUAAAGCUCUAUCAGCAGGGAAGAAAAUGACGGUACCUGACUAAGAAGCCCCGGCUAACUACGUGCCAGCAGCCGCGGUAAUACGUAGGGGGCAAGCGUUAUCCGGAUUUACUGGGUGUAAAGGGAGCGUAGACGGCUGUGCAAGCCAGAUGUGAAAGCCCGGGGCUCAACCCCGGGACUGCAUUUGGAACUGUGUGGCUGGAGUGUCGGAGAGGCAGGCGGAAUUCCUAGUGUAGCGGUGAAAUGCGUAGAUAUUAGGAGGAACACCAGUGGCGAAGGCGGCCUGCUGGACGAUGACUGACGUUGAGGCUCGAAAGCGUGGGGAGCAAACAGGAUUAGAUACCCUUGUAC